GGGGUGAGUAACACGUGGAUAACCUACCUAUAAGACUGGGAUAACUUCGGGAAACCGGAGCUAAUACUGGAUAAUAUUUUGAACCGCAUGGUUCAAAAGUGAAAGACGGUCUUGCUGUCACUUAUAGAUGGAUCCGCGCUGCAUUAGCUAGUUGGUAAGGUAACGGCUUACCAAGGCAACGAUGCAUAGCCGACCUGAGAGGGUGAUCGGCCACACUGGAACUGAGGCACGGUCCAG
rnacentral:rRNA from 1 species